rnacentral:ncRNA from 1 species
AGUGUAGAUAUCUUUAUCAAUACAAAUCGUGAUGGGGAUAGAUUAAUGCAAUUAUAAAUGUUGAACGAGGACAUGCCUAGUAAGCAUGAUUCAUCAGAUUGUGCUGACUACGUCCCUGCCCUUUGUACACACCGCCUGUCGCUCCUACCGAUUGAAAGAUAUGAUGAAUUGUUUGGACAAGAAAAUAGAAAUUUUAUUUUUAUUUUUUUGGAAGGACCGUAAAUCCUAUCUUUUAAAGGAAGGAGAAGUCGUAACAAGGUUUCCGUAGGUGAACCUGCGGAAGGAUCAUUA